rnacentral:rRNA from 1 species
GAUGAACGCUGGCGGCGUGCCUAAUACAUGCAAGUCGAGCGAACGGACGAGAAGCUUGCUUCUCUGAUGUUAGCGGCGGACGGGUGAGUAACACGUGGAUAACCUACCUAUAAGACUGGGAUAACUUCGGGAAACCGGAGCUAAUACCGGAUGAUAUUUUGAACCGCAUGGUUCAAAAGUGAAAGACGGUCUUGCUGUCACUUAUAGAUGGAUCCGCGCUGCAUUAGCUAGUUGGUAAGGUAACGGCUUACCAAGGCAACGAUGCAUAGCCGACCUGAGAGGGUGAUCGGCCACACUGGAACUGAGACACGGUCCAGACUCCUACGGGAGGCAGCAGUAGGGAAUCUUCCGCAAUGGGCGAAAGCCUGACGGAGCAACGCCGCGUGAGUGAUGAAGGUCUUCGGAUCGUAAAACUCUGUUAUUAGGGAAGAACGUAUGUGUAAGUAACUGUGCACAUCUUGACGGUACCUAAUCAGAAAGCCACGGCUAACUACGUG